GAUGAACGCUGGCGGUGUGCCUAAUACAUGCAAGUCGAGCGAAAAGACGGGGAGCAUGACCCUCUGACGAUAGCGGCGGGCGGGUGUGUAACGUGUGGAUCCUCUCCCUAUAAGAGGGGUAACACUUCGGGAGACCGGCGAUUAUAGCGGAUAAUAUAUUGACCGGAUGGGAUUAUUUGUUAAAGAAGGAUUGGCUGCGAAUGAUCGUGGGAUCCGCGCGGCAUUUGGUUGUGGGAAAGGUAACGGAUUACCCAGGCAACGAUGCGUAGCCGACCUGUGAGGGUGAUCAGCCACACCGGAACUGAGACACGGUCCGGACUCCUACGGGAGGCAGCAGUGGAGAGUCGUCCGCAAUGGACGAAAGCUUGACGUAGCAACGCCGCGUCAGUUGUGAAAUGCUUCGGAUCUGAAAUCUCUGUUUUUAGUGAAAAACAAAUGUGUAAGUAACUAGUCACGUCUUGACGGUACCUAAUCAGAAAGCCACGGCUAACUACGUG
rnacentral:rRNA from 1 species